UAUGAAUUCAAGAAAUAAUGACAAAACAGGAAACGGGUGACUGUAUGGUGUCUCACUGCCACAUCGUGUCUUUGGAAACAUUUACAUCAAGAAUCACGUCUUUAAUGAAGGGAAGCUUCUUACGGUGGCAUCGAGAGAGUUGUGAUCUGCGCCAGCUGCUUUUCCUGCUUCAUCUCAGAAGAAACAUAAUCUCCAUUGAGAGAAAGAGUUCUUAAGGAGCAUCACUUCCUCACUGUCACUAGACGACCAUGAGGUGCGUUCAAGGACACUCCGAACAUCACCACUUUCUUUAUUAUGCGUGUAUGUGUGGUCUCAAUAAACAGACAAAGAAAAACAGUACUGGUAAG